CUUGGUCAUUUAGAGGAAGUAAAAGUCGUAACAAGGUUUCCGUAGGUGAACCUGCGGAAGGAUCAUUACAAGUGAGGCUACCGAACGUUGGAAACAGCGGUUAGGAGCUUACACCCACCCGUGUUUACAUACUAUUGUUGCUUUGGCGGGCCGUGGCCUCCACUGCGGGCUCUGCUCGUGUGUGCCCGCCAGAGAACCAAACUCUGAAUGUUAGUGAUGUCUGAGUACUAUAUAAUAGUUAAAACUUUCAACAACGGAUCUCUUGGUUCUGGCAUCGAUGAAGAACGCAGCGAAAUGCGAUAAGUAAUGUGAAUUGCAGAAUUCAGUGAAUCAUCGAAUCUUUGAACGCACAUUGCGCCCUGUGGUAUUCCGCAGGGCAUGCCUGUUCGAGCGUCAUUUAACCACUCACGCCUAGCGUGGUAUUGGGGCACGCGGGUCUCCGCGGCCCUCAAAAUUAGUGGCGGCGCCGGUGGGCUCUAAGCGUAGUACAUACUCCCGCUAUAGAGUUCCCCCGGUGGCUCGCCAGAACCCCCAAUUUUUACAGGUUGACCUCGGAUCAGGUAGGGAUACCCGCUGAACUUAAGCAUAUCAAUAAGCGGAGGA
rnacentral:rRNA from 1 species